GACGAACGCUGGCGGCGUGCCUAAUACAUGCAAGUCGAACGCAGUGGGGACGGGUGAGUAACACGUGGGUAACCUCCCAUCAGAGGGGAUAACACUUGGAAACAGGUGCUAAACCGAUACUGAUGGAUGGACCCGCGGUGCAUUAGCUAGUUGGGGGGGUAACGGCUCACCAAGGCCACGAUGCAUAGCAGACUUGCUAGGGUGAUCGGCCCAACUGGAACUUAGACACGGCCCAGACUCCUACGGGAUGCAUCAGUGGGGAAUCUUCGCCAAUGGACGAAAGUCUGACCGAGCAACGCCGCGUGAGUGAAGAAGGUUUUCGGUUCGUAAAACUCUGUUGUUAGAGCAGCGGUAUCUAACCAGAAAGCCACGGCUAACUACGUGCCAGCCGCCGCGGUAAUAC
rnacentral:rRNA from 1 species